AAGGCUUUAGCUUAAUUAAAGUGUUUGAGUUGCAUUCAGUUGAUGUGGGAUAGAGUCCUGCAAGCCUUA
rnacentral:tRNA from 8 species